rnacentral:tRNA from 1 species
GCGGGUGUGGCGGAACUGGCAGACGCNCACGGUUCAGGUCCGUGUUCCCGUUAAUGGGAGUGGAGGUUCGAAUCCUCUCACCCGUA